rnacentral:misc_RNA from 1 species
UACGGAGGGUGCGAGCGUUAAUCGGAAUUACUGGGCGUAAAGCGCACGUAGGCGGUUUGUUAAGCUAGAUGUGAAAGCCCCGGGCUCAACCUGGGAAUAGCAUUUAGAACUGGCAGGCUAGAGUUUUGAAGAGGGUGGUAGAAUUUCCAGUGUAGCGGUGAAAUGCGUAGAGAUUGGAAGGAAUAUCAGUGGCGAAGGCGGCCACCUGGUCAAAAACUGACGCUCAGGUGCGAAAGCGUGGGGAGCAAACAGG